UACGUAGGGUGCAAGCGUUAAUCGGCAUUACUGGGCGUAAAGCGUGCGCAGGCGGUGAUGUAAGUCAGGUGUGAAAUCCCCGGGCUUAACCUGGGAACUGCAUUUGUGACUGCAUCGCUGGAGUGCGGCAGAGGGGGAUGGAAUUCCGCGUGUAGCAGUGAAAUGCGUAGAUAUGCGGAGGAACACCGAUGGCGAAGGCAAUCCCCUGGGCCUGCACUGACGCUCAUGCACGAAAGCGUGGGGAGCAAACAGG
rnacentral:rRNA from 1 species